UACGGAGGGAGCUAGCGUUGUUCGGAAUUACUGGGCGUAAAGCGUGCGUAGGCGGUUAUUCAAGUCAGAGGUGAAAGCCCGGGGCUCAACCCCGGAACGGCCUUUGAAACUAGGUAACUAGAAUCUUGGAGAGGUUAGUGGAAUUCCCGGUGUAGUGGUGGAAUGCGUAGAUAUCGGGAGGAACACCAGUGGCGAAGGCGGUUGCCUGGAGCUUUGCUGACGCUGAGGCGCGAAAGCGUGGGGAGCGAUCCGG
rnacentral:rRNA from 1 species